GAUGAACGCUGGCGGCGUGCCUAAUACAUGCAAGUCGAGCGAACAGACGAGGAGCUUGCUCCUCUGACGUUAGCGGCGGACGGGUGAGUAACACGUGGAUAACCUACCUAUAAGACUGGGAUAACUUCGGGAAACCGGAGCUAAUACCGGAUAAUAUAUUGAACCGCAUGGUUCAAUAGUGAAAGACGGUUUUGCUGUCACUUAUAGAUGGAUCCGCGCCGCAUUAGCUAGUUGGUAAGGUAACGGCUUACCAAGGCGACGAUGCGUAGCCGACCUGAGAGGGUGAGCGGCCACACGGGAACUGAGACACGGUCCAGACUCCGACGGGAGGCAGCAGUAGGGAAUCGUGCGCAAUGGGCGAAAGCCUGACGGAGCAACGCCGCGUGAGGGAUGAAGGUCUUCGGAUCGUAAAACUCUGUUAUUAGGGAAGAACAUAUGUGUAAGUAACUGUGCACGUCUUGACGGUACCUAAUGAGAAAGCCACGGCUAACUACGUG
rnacentral:rRNA from 1 species